CUUCCACCCCUGCGAGCGCAUGAAAUCUCUGCGUUCCACAUCCAGCUCCUCUGGCACUGCCAGAGAGCUCGGGAUACAGGAGGUCUCAGUCCCUCCAAGCUGCGGCUGACAGGGAAGCAGCUGAUUGCCCUCUUCCUCACUGGACAACGGGCAGAUGGGGCUGACCUGUCUGAAGGCAUCAAGUGACUUCUGCACAGGCACCGUGGCCCGUUUUUCUGCUCCAGACAGAGCAGAAAAUGGCAAGAAUCUGCACUGGGAACCUGCGUCUCUACCCAUCUACUCACUGCUCACUGGGCAAAAUAUCAAGUAAAACUUUUGUCCCUUCUGUAUUGCUCUUUUCUUUUCCUCUUUUUUCCCCAUAGCAAGCAUACUCGAAACCAGUCUCUCUCAGAUAUCAGUAGGCACAGGGAAGCCCUGGAGCUCCCACAAGACCUCGAGUCCUGCCCCAGCAGCAGGGUGCAGCACCUGUCAGGUGAGCCUGCUGUCCCCGGGCCAGAGGCACCCGGAGGAGCCAGAUGUCUGCGGUGGCUCCUGCUGUGCUGUCUGGGUGCUGGGGACACGUCCCACAGACUACACCGGUCAGCGCGGAGCCGUAGCCUCCCUGGCCCUGUGCCACAGGAAUGUAGACGUGCCAUGAGAUCAUACUGCAAGAUGCCAAGGAGUCACUGUUGUUUAAAGGCUUGAAAUCUCCAAAUCCUUCCCAGGAAUCAGCAGGCAAAUCCACCAAGUGUGCUGCGGCUUGACGGCUGCCUCCCAGGAGCAGGUGGAGGUGACAAUGUAUGUCCAGGUGUGCCCUGCGUGAGGCGACACCACCCAGGCACCUGGAGCUGCACCGCUGAGAAGGCAGCAGCCGGGACUCCGGUCCUGAGCCUGGUUUUAGAGGCUGCUUCUGUGUGAAAGACAGACUCCUGGCAGUGCUUCUCUAUGUGGAAAUUUAGUGACAAGUUUUGUGCUAACUCUGAACGAAUGAGGACUUGCUGCUGAAUUAAAGCUGUGUGUUGUGGGUUUCCACUUGAUUGCCCUGUCUUUCCAUCACUGAAUAAAUAAUCUUUGUCCUGGGGUGAUGUCAGUCACCCCUCAGAGUC